rnacentral:rRNA from 1 species
AUUGAACGCUGGCGGCAUGCCUUACACAUGCAAGUCGAACGGUAACAGGUUAAGCUGACGAGUGGCGAACGGGUGAGUAAUGUAUCGGAACGUGCCCAGUCGUGGGGGAUAACUGCUCGAAAGAGCAGCUAAUACCGCAUACGACCUGAGGGUGAAAUCGGGGGAUCGCAAGACCUCGCGCGAUUGGAUCGGCCGAUAUCAGAUUAGGUAGUUGGUGAGGUAAAGGCUCACCAAGCCGACGAUCUGUAGCUGGUCUGAGAGGACGACCAGCCACACUGGGACUGAGACACGGCCCAGACUCCUACGGGAGGCAGCAGUGGGGAAUUUUGGACAAUGGGCGAAAGCCUGAUCCAGCCAUGCCGCGUGCGGGAAGAAGGCCUUCGGGUUGUAAACCGCUUUUGUCAGGGAAGAAAAGGUUCUGGCUAAUACCUGGGAGUCAUGACGGUACCUGAAGAAUAAGCACCGGCUAACUACGUG